GAGGGUGAUAAUUCAGUGGAAUAGUUCUAUUUUACCCGUUGGUCCUUGGUCGACCCGAUUGAAUGCAUAUAUCGGGGUUCUCAUGUGUAAAGUGAACAUUAUCAACCCUUAUUUUCAUUUUCGAGAACUACUAUGGACCGCAUACGAGGCGGUAUGGACUAAGCUUAUGGAGGGAUUUGACGCUACAUCCAAGGAGGUUGCAUCUGUGUACAUUUAGCAGGAGGAGGAACAAACCAAGCCGGGCCCUCACAUGCUUUCUGUAGAGGAGAACAUCACUCUCACACUGAACCUGAUGGGUCAUAAUAGGAGAGGAAGAUAUCCUCUACAUGGUGUUGGAGCUUCACUCGGCAUAAGCAUGAGAUCAUCCACAACAUCCUCCACGCCAUCUACAUCAAUGAGAACAGCCCCAAGUAGUUUCUAGGCUAAACCAUUUGUCGCACAAAUCUCCUACGUAUUUGAUUGACAAGAUUGACCCGGAGCUGCAUAUUCAGGUGACUAAUGAGAUGACUAGAGUUGCGCUGACGACGAACUUGAUGGAUGAUCUCAUGGGGUAUGUUAUACAAUAUUUAGGUGGUGUGAUUCCUUAUAGCGUGUAUGGUGGUAUCAUACGGAUCAUAUGCUCGAUUAACGAUAAUUCUGGCACAAGGCAGAGCAGCGCUCAGAGUAGAGAUAUUAGAGGGAGCAGCACCCGUUCUCGUAACCGGGAUAG